UGCUAACACACGAGUUCAUACAGAGGGAUUUUGACAUGAACAAGACUGUGUGUGAUCAUGAUAUACGCUAUAGUACUACAAUCACGUGAAGACUGGCGCUAGGCGCUUCAUAUACUAGUCCUAGUUGCCUAUUGCAACCUAGGACAGGACUGGCACCUACAAUGGAUCCAAGGUGAACGUGCGGUGCGGUGUGAACAUACAUGUGAAGCUUGGCCCUGGCCUAGGGCGAGUACUACACUGGUACAGGCAUGCAUGAUGAGCAAGUAUAACAUAUACAAACUUUCCAUGGCAUGAUAGGCGUAAUAUUAAUCCAAAAGCAUUUGUGGAAACUAUAAAACUUUAUAUAUCAUAUAUAUAAAAACAAAUGCCCAUUCACCAAUAUGUAGUCGAAUCGUAACCUCCUAGCCUUACUUGUCCUUGUACCUCAUCAGGAUAAUUCUCUCCUAUAUGUGAAACAACUAUAGUAAUUAAUUAAUUAGGACAUACACUAAAAGGCUAGGAAAAUCCCCUAUAGUAUGCUCAAACAGAGGGUUUAAAUAUAUGAAAACAUUCUACUCGACGUCACAUACCCGUACACGUCGACUACGCACCACCACGCACUGCCAGGUCGCAGCCACAUGUGUGCCCACGCGCAGGUCACGCGCCUGCACGUGUUGGUAGAUCCCUAGGGAAUAUUUCAACAAAUUUGAUGGAAUAUUCCGUUAAAUCUAACAACGUCAGUUAAAUACCAUAACGGUGUCAGAAUAUUCUGUCAACCUAAG
rnacentral:lncRNA from 1 species